rnacentral:rRNA from 1 species
GACGAACGCUGGCGGCGCGCCCAAUACAUGCAAGUCGAGCGAGAAGACGUAGCAAUACGCUUGUAAAGCGGCGAACGGGUGAGGAAUACAUGGGUAACCUACCCUCGAGUGGGGAAUAACUAGCCGAAAGGUUAGCUAAUACCGCGUACGCUUCUUGGACUUCGGUUCAGGGAGGAAAGCGAUGCCGAGGGUAUCGCGCUCUUGGAUGGGCUCAUGUCCUAUCAGCUUGUUGGGAGGUAACGGCUCACCAAGGCUUCGACGGGUAGCUGGUCUGAGAGGACGAUCAGCCACACUGGCACUGCGACACGGGCCAGACUCCUACGGGAGGCAGCAGUAAGGAAUAUUGCGCAAUGGGCGAAAGCCUGACGCAGCGACGCCGCGUGGGGGAUGAAGGUCUUCGGAUUGUAAACCCCUUUCGGG